GCUAGCUCUGCAAUUUUGAAAGGCUGAUUUAUGGAAAGUGUGUGUCCACGUAAACUUGGAUUUGUGGUGAUUAUGUAAGGCUGAUGAGGAUGACGGAUGAUAUAGCCUGAUUUAUUUCCAUCCGCUAUGAGGCACUUGAGCCGGGUCGAUGCCUACGCCAUAAUCCGAGCUGCUUAGUGUGUACUUCUCAAUGCCACAGCCGGAACAACCAUGGCCACGUACCUGUUGAGGACAACCUCUCCGCGACUCCAAUGUUUUAUUACGAUCUCUCAACUAGGCAUACAAUAGACCGUGAAGUGUGGCAUCAAGAACCUCAGCACGCUGCAGGAGAAGACCAUGAAGAUCAGCAAGGAAGUGGUAGGUGGUGUGCUUCAAUCUCUUCUACGAGGUUUGUACUGUUGAUUGAUUUUUUUGUUAUCUCAUGUCAUCUCUGUGAGUGUUCUAUUGCAGUUGCAUGUGUCAUAAAGGUUGGUCAAGAAGGUGUGAGACUGCUGCUACUUAAAGGUCAGCGUGGCCUGCAACCACAACAAGACACUUGCCAUGCAUGUUCCUUGCAAGCAGCAGCAGCAUGACUUUGUCGUCAAUAACAUAACAAGGACCAAAUCGAUCACCGUCUACAUGUUUUACUACUCUCAGCAGAGUGGAAUAAAUGUUUGUAAAGUAACCUUUUCUCUGGCCGGUUCAAAUCAUCCCUCCUCCGUUUAGUCAUUUACCUAUUGGACGUGCUCGCCAUGUGUUUAAGAUAAUGUUUAGAGAAAUUGCUACACAUGUGUUAUUUUCUUUUCAGAUGAUUCCCGUGAUUUAUACUUUUACAUGUAAAAAAUUAUAUAUAUAUAUAUAUAUAUAUAAGCAACGAAUAUAUCCUUUGAAUCAAUGCACAAGGUCCUGAAUUUAAUUUAGGAUACGGUGAAAUACAUAGUAUAUUAUCCAACAGUAGGUAUUGUUGCACAUAUCGAUAUCUUUUCUAUACAUGCUAUAUGUUAUGCAGAUUUUACUGCUGCAAGUAAAUUAUUGUAUAGAUUCGGUGUACUGAUUAAGUACCAGUACCUUUUGUGUUGUAUGCAGGUUAAAAAAUUUGUGUACUGGCCAUUGUUUUCUUAUAGACCCUCAUCUCUCAAAUUUUCUGCUACAAAUUUGGUGGAGGUAAGUCCAUAGUUCUGUGGAUACGACAUCGGCAUGUCCAGAAUUAUGGGUUUACAUUUUAGUUUUAUUUCUUGCCAACUUACAUGAGAAAACAGUAGAAAGGUCAGUUCAUUUUCCCCUGUUAUGCAUGGAUAUGAUACCUUCUCACGUUCUACUCCUAAAUAGUUAGUGGUUUGGUCCCCUUUUCAUGGUUCCCAGGUUCGUGCUUCUCUUCAUCAUCUAUCUCUUAUCAAGUUCUAGGCGUAAACCUAUCAAAUUUUAUAUCUAACAAGUGUUAUUGCUUUGCUACCAAGGUUGUUCUGACCGUGUCUUGGCCUUGACUUAGAUGAAAAAGAGUCAGUUCUUUGGUGUCAUGCCUAGCUACAGUUGGUUGUUUUGUAAGUUGCAAGGUAUCUCAUAAGGCACAUGAACAGAUAUCCAUGGUAUUAAUUUGGAUCUCCAUGUCGCGGGGUAGAAAGGACAGAAAGGAGCAGCAGGAUAGCCGGUCCAAUAUUGAGCAGAUUCUGUCUUGGGGAUCACUACCUCGGUGCAAGCAUCCUCUUCCCCACGCCUCCUGAUUUGGUCAUGGCGGUUAAGAGGUAUAAUACUAUAAUCAUGCCCGAUUGGAUAAGAAUCCUAUGUUUCAUGCAAUUUCUUUGAGUUGAUUUCCUCUACAGAAGAAUUUACAUGCAGGCUGUCCUCACUAGGAGGGAAAUUUGAUCAUGUGUGCUGUCAGUAGGUCUUCCAAAACUAAUAGUUUUUUGUAUAAAAAAUCAGGAGCUUCAACCGAUUCGCUCACAUGGCAAGCGACUAGCUCUAGCAAGAUGGGUUCUAUUUCAAUUACAGCUUAGAGAUAACGUUUUUUGGAACAAAACGCUUAUGUUAUUUGGAUUGCCGCAGACAGAUGAUUAGGUUGUCUCUUAGUUUUUUUCAAGUUAUAUAAGCGCCUAUUGAAUAGUUCUUUGCAUUGGACCCUUAGUGUAUGUAGCUGUUUUUUUCAUAUUGGCAUUUAAGCACCUAUAUACAAGCACUCUGCAUAUUAUAGAUGGUCUAACAUGAUGUAGUUUUACUGUUGCAAUGAAAUAAAUGAGAAAAUAGCCGUUGUUCGGCAGGAAACCUGGAGUCAGCAUCUAGCACCCUGCAUUGCAAACCAUCGGUUUGUGGUCACUUUG
rnacentral:lncRNA from 1 species